UCGUAGACUUGUUGUGGACAAAUGUAAUGGACAUGUGCGUCGAUGGCGCCAGCAGUGACGAUGAGCUUCUCGCCAGCGAUUACCUCGGUAGAGGAGCCGAUGAUGAGGGAAGGAUGGACGGACGCCAUCACGUCCGGAUUCCCGGCUUUGCCGAGUCCCACAAUCAAUCCAUCUUUGACUCCAAUAUCGGCCUGUGUGCAUCAAUGUCAGAGUCGCCAUUGGGAAGGGAACCAUGAAAUUACCUUGUAUAUUCCUGACCAGUCGAUGAUGAGAGCGUUGGUGAUGACAAGAUCGAGAGUCUCGGAUGCUGGGCGGUUGGUAGCUUGACCCAUACCCUCACGA
rnacentral:sRNA from 1 species